rnacentral:rRNA from 1 species
AGAAUUGAUCUGGUCAGGACGAACGCUGGCGGCGUGCCUAACACAUGCAAGUCGAGCGGGGACAUGCGACGGAUAGGAAGAUUCGGUUGGACUUGAAGAUGCAUUGUUCUAGCGGCGGACGGGUGAGUAACGCGUGAGCAACCUGUCCCUUACAGGGGGAUAACACAGCGAAAGUUGUACUAAUACCGCAUGAGACCACGGGAGGACAUCCUCCAGGGGUCAAAGGAGCAAUCCGGUAAGGGGUGGGCUCGCGUCCGAUUAGAUAGUUGGUGAGGUAACGGCCCACCAAGUCGACGAUCGGUAGCCGACCUGAGAGGGUGAUCGGCCACAUUGGGACUGAGACACGGCCCAAACUCCUACGGGAGGCAGCAGUGGGGAAUAUUGGGCAAAUGGGGGAAACCCUGACCCAGCAACGCCGCGUGAGGGAAGAAGGUUUUCGGAUCGUAAACCUCUGUCCUUGGUGAAGAGGAAGAGACGGUAGCCAAGGAGGAAGCCCCGGCUAACUACGUGCCAGCCGCGGC